AGAGUUUGAUCAUGGCUCAGAAUCAACGCUGGCGGCGUGCCUAACACAUGCAAGUCGAACGAGAAAGGGUAGCAAUACCUGAGUAAAGUGGCGCACGGGUGAGCAACACGUGACUAACCUACCCUGGAGUGGGGGAUAACUGAGGGAAACCUUAGCUAAUACCGCAUAACACCUACGGGUCAAAGGAGCAAUUCGCUUCAGGAGGGGGUCGCGGCCGAUUAGUUAGUUGGCGGGGUAAUGGCCCACCAAGACUGUGAUCGGUAUCCGGCCUGAGAGGGCGCACGGACACACUGGAACUGAAACACGGUCCAGACUCCUACGGGAGGCAGCAGUGGGGAAUUUUGCGCAAUGGGGGAAACCCUGACGCAGCAACGCCGCGUGGAGGAUGAAGUACUUCGGUACGUAAACUCCUUUCGAUCGGGACGAUUAUGACGGUACCGGAAGAAGAAGCCCCGGCUAACUUCGUGCCAGCAGCCGCGGUAAUACGAGGGGGGCAAGCGUUGUUCGGAAUUAUUGGGCGUAAAGGGUGCGUAGGCGGUUUUGUAAGUCUUGUGUGAAAUCUUCAGGCUCAACUUGAAGACUGCACGAGAAACUGCAGGGCUUGAGUGUGGGAGAGGUGAGUGGAAUUCCUGGUGUAGCGGUGAAAUGCGUAGAUAUCAGGAGGAACACCUGUGGCGAAAGCGGCUCACUGGACCACAACUGACGCUGAUGCACGAAAGCUAGGGGAGCAAACAGGAUUAGAUACCCUAGUAGUCC
rnacentral:rRNA from 1 species